rnacentral:rRNA from 1 species
GAUGAACGCUGGCGGCGUGCCUAAUACAUGCAAGUCGAGCGAACGGACGAGAAGCUUGCUUCUCUGAUGUUAGCGGCGGACGGGUGAGUAACACGUGGAUAACCUACCUAUAAGACUGGGAUAACUUCGGGAAACCGGAGCUAAUACCGGAUAAUAUUUUGAACCGCAUGGUUCAAAAGUGAAAGACGGUCUUGCUGUCACUUAUAGAUGGAUCCGCGCUGCAUUAGCUAGUUGGUAAGGUAACGGCUUACCAAGGCAACGAUGCAUAGCCGACCUGAGAGGGUGAUCGGCCACACUGGAACUGAGACACGGUCCAGACUCCUACGGGAGGCAGCAGUAGGGAAUCUUCCGCAAAGGGCGAAAGCCUGACGGAGCAACGCCGCGUGAGUGAUGAAGGUCUUCGGAUAGUAAAACUCUGUUAUUAGGGAAGAACAGAUGUGUAAGUAACUGUGCACAUCUUGACGGUACCUAAUCAGAAAGCCACGGCUAACUACGUG